rnacentral:rRNA from 1 species
GUAUGAAAGGCUGGACGAGGUAAAAUCUGUCUCUAUUUAAAUUAUAGUAGAAUUUAACUUUUAAGUUAAAAGGCUUAAAUAUUAUUAAAAGACGAGAAGACCCUAUAGAUCUUUAUAGUUUAUUAAAUUAAAUUAAUUUAGAAAUAUUAAUGUUUUAUUUAACUAAAUUAUUUUAUUGGGGUAAUAAAAAGAUUGAAUUAAUUCUUUUUUACAAUAAACAUUAAUUUAUGAAUAUUAAUGAUCCAGUUUUACUGAUUAUAAGAUUAAGUUACCUUAGGGAUAACAGCGUAAUUUUUUUAGAGAGUUCAUAUCGAUAAAAAAGUUUGCGACCUCGAUGUUGGAUUAAAGAUUAUUUUAGGUGUAGAAGCUUAAUAAUUUUGGUCUGUUCGACCAUUAAAUCUUUACAUGAUCUGAGUUCAGACCGGCGUAAGCCAGGUCGGUUUCUAUCUUUAAUAAAAUAAAAUAUUUUAGUACGAAAGGACCAAAUAUUUGAUAUAUUUAUAUUUAAUUUAUUGAAUAUUA